GACGAACGCUGGCGGCGUGCUUAACACAUGCAAGUCGAACGGAAAGGCCCUGCUUUUGUGGGGUGCUCGAGUGGCGAACGGGUGAGUAACACGUGAGUAACCUGCCCUUGACUUUGGGAUAACUUCAGGAAACUGGGGCUAAUACCGGAUAGGAGCUCCUGCUGCAUGGUGGGGGUUGGAAAGUUUCGGCGGUUGGGGAUGGACUCGCGGCUUAUCAGCUUGUUGGUGGGGUAGUGGCUUACCAAGGCUUUGACGGGUAGCCGGCCUGAGAGGGUGACCGGCCACAUUGGGACUGAGUUACGGCCCAGACUCCUACGGGAGGCAGCAGUGGGGAAUAUUGCACAAUGGGCGGAAGCCUGAUGCAGCAACGCCGCGUGCGGGAUGACGGCCUUCGGUUUGUAAACCGCUUUCGCCUGUGACGAAGCGUGAGUGACGGUAAUGGGUAAAGAAGCACCGGCUAACUACGUG
rnacentral:rRNA from 1 species